rnacentral:rRNA from 1 species
CCAUGCGAGUCGAAUGGAAUACCUAAAUUUUCCAUGGCGAACUGCUCAGUAACACAUGAUCAACUUGCCCUAUAGAGAAAAAUAACCUCGGGAGACUGAGGAUAAUAUUUCAUAGUUGAAAAGGCUUGGAAAAGUUUUUCAAUAAAAGGGAUAAAAUAAAUGGUUUUUAUCUGCUAUAGGAUAGGAUCGUGGUCGAUUAUGGUUGUUGGUGAGGUAACGGCUCACCAAGCCGAUAAUCGAUAGGGGCCGUGAGAGCGGGAGCCCCGAGAUGGGUACUUAGACAGCGACCCAGGCCCUACGAGGCGCAGCAGGCGCGAAACCUCCGCAAUACACGAAAGUGUGACGGGGUUACCCAAAGUGUUCAUAUUUGGACUGUGGUAGGUGAGUAAUGUCCCCUACUAGAAAGGAGAGGGCAAGGCUGGUGCCAGCCGCCGCGGUAAAACCAGCUCUUCAAGUGGUCGGGAUAAUUAUUGGGCUUAAAGUGUCCGUAGCCGGUUUAGUUAGUUCCUGGUAAAAUCGGGUAGCUUAACUAUCUGUAUGCUAGGAAUACUGCUAUACUAGAGGGCGGGAGAGGUCUGAGGUACUACAGGGGUAGGGGUGAAAUCUUAUAAUCCUUGUAGGACCACCAGUGGCGAAGGCGUCAGACUGGAACGCGCCUGACGGUGAGGGACGAAAGCCAGGGGAGCGAACCGGAUUAGAUACCCGGGUAGUCCUGGCCGUAAACGAUGCAUACUAGGUGAUGGCACGGCUAUGAGCCGUGUCAGUGCCGUAGGGAAACCGUUAAGUGUGCCGCCUGGGAAGUACGGUCGCAAGGCUAAAACUUAAAGGAAUUGGCGGGGGAGCACCACAAGGGGCGAAGCCUGCGGUUCAAUUGGAUUCAACGCCGG